CGUCAAUGUGUAUCGAGUUUAUAUUGUAAAGUUCCCCCUGCUGGCAUGAGCCUGCCCUACCAGGCAGGCCCUGGAGGGGUUGACCCUCAUGGCAGAGGACUAUUGGACUGACACUGAUCUAAAGUUGUUAGCUACCUCUUAGAUGUCAAUCCCAGCGUCUUUCCUCAGCUCCUCCAGCGCUGGGUCUCUUAGGCAAGCAUCAGUCACUGUCUGUCACUCCUCUUCAGUCGCUCCCCUCUCUAUGCAAACUGUUUCCAAUUUUCCUUCAGCUUUCCUGGUCAUUUUCUCCUUCCUUUCUUGCUCCCCCCUUCCCUCUCCCAACUCCUCUUUCCUCUUGAAAAAUUCAAUUCAUCUGCUGUCCUGCGGCUGCUUAUUUUGUGCUAAAUUCUAUAGCAAGAGCUGGGAGUAUAAAAGCCACGGCCCUGGCUUUUGAGGGGCUGAAGUUCAAAGAAAAACCAUCAGCGAAAGAACACGAUACAAUACGAGGAGCGCUGUCAUGACUUGGAUACCCGUGGUCUAAAGGAAGCACAGGGGGACGAAUGGCUGAUCUCGGCAUUGAUGGGGUGUUCCCAGAUCUGGUCCCACAUUCCCAACAGCCUUCUAGAAACUGCUACCAAAUGGAACUCAUCUGCUCUUCUUGGAGAAACGCCAUCCUCCUGUGUUCCUUCGGCCAUCCCAAACCCAGCUAAAAGUUCUUUCAGGAAGUCCUGCCUGACACCCCCACCUGAAUACCAGACGUUACUUAUCCUUUGGUCUCCUCAAAGCACACACCGGGUCCAUUUUCGCUCUACCACUCCACACAGGAUUAAAAUUCUUUGUUCCAUUUCUUUUUUAAUGUUUUAUUGUUCCCCUCUCUGGAAACAACUGAACAAGAAUGGAACAUGGUAAAUGAAUGUCUCAAUUCUGUCAUUCUCAACUGGAUGAUGUUAUGGAAUUGAUCUAAGCCUCAGUUUCCUCAUCUGUAGAAUAGGAUAAUGAUGACUGCAUCAUCAGUAGAAAUUAGCAGAGCACACAGGCAUUUCCAGCAAGUGAAACACUGUAGUGUCAGAUACAGAGGAAGAGCUUAACAGGAACACUGAUUGGUGAAGAAAGAUGUUUCUGAGUAAUCUUUAAAGUGUAACCUGGGAAUACAAAAUGUAAGUGAUCAAAUGUAAGGAAGAAUUUAGUCUGGGGGUCACUUAUUUUUAGUUUAGUUAAGGUUCAUAUAUUUCCACAGCUUAAAAUUUCAGGAUUCUUUUUGCUUCAAUUCCUGGAGUUUCACUCUAUGGAGCAGACCCACGAGGUACACAACUUGGGUUUUAUUUUAACAGCAAUGUGCCUGCCCCAGGAGUGAUAGUUUUAAGUCAAUUUGUGGAAAAGCAACCACAUUCCAGUGGCAACUGUGUGGUAGCCUGUUCUAGCCAAGGAGGUAAAAGGUGAAAUUUGGGGCUACUG